GACGAACGCUGGCGGCGUGCUUAACACAUGCAAGUCGAACGGAAAGGCCCUGCUUUUGUGGGGUGCUCGAGUGGCGAACGGGUGAGUAACACGUGAGUAACCUGCCCUUGACUUUGGGAUAACUUCAGGAAACUGGGGCUAAUACCGGAUAGGAGCUCCUGCUGCAUGGUGGGGGUUGGAAAGUUUCGGCGGUUGGGGAUGGACUCGCGGCUUAUCAGCUUGUUGGUGGGGUAGUGGCUUACCAAGGCUUUGACGGGUAGCCGGCCUGAGAGGGUGACCGGCCACAUGGGGACUGAGAGACGGCCCAGACUCCUACGGGAGGCAGCAGUGGGGAAUAUGGCACAAUGGGCGGAAGCCUGAUGCAGCAACGCCGCGUGCGGGAUGACGGCCUUCGGGUUGUAAACCGCUUUCGCCUGUGACGAAGCGGGAGUGACGGUAAUGGGUAAAGAAGCACCGGCUAACUACGUG
rnacentral:rRNA from 1 species